rnacentral:rRNA from 1 species
UACGGAGGGUGCAAGCGUUGUUCGGAAUUACUGGGCGUAAAGGGCGCGUAGGUGGUUGUGUAAGUCAGAUGUGAAAUCCUUCGGCUCAACCGGAGAACUGCAUCUGAUACUGCACGACUCGAGUACAGGAGAGGGAAACGGAAUUCCAGGUGUAGAGGUGAAAUUCGUAGAUAUCUGGAGGAACACCGGUGGCGAAGGCGGUUUCCUGGCCUGAUACUGACACUGAGGCGCGAAAGCGUGGGGAGCAAACAGG